rnacentral:rRNA from 1 species
AUUGAACGCUGGCGGCAGGCCUAACACAUGCAAGUCGAACGGUAACAGGAAGCAGCUUGCUGCUUUGCUGACGAGUGGCGGACGGGUGAGUAAUGUCUGGGAAACUGUCUGAUGGAGGGGGAUAACUACUGGAAACGGUAGCUAAUACCGCAUAACGUCGCAAGACCAAAGAGGGGGACCUUAGGGCCUCUUGCCAUCGGAUGUGCCCAGAUGGGAUUAGCUAGUAGGUGGGGUAACGGCUCACCUAGGCGACGAUCCCUAGCUGGUCUGAGAGGAUGACCAGCCACACUGGAACUGAGACACGGUCCAGACUCCUACGGGAGGCAGCAGUGGGGAAUAUUGCACAAUGGGCGCAAGCCUGAUGCAGCCAUGCCGCGUGUAUGAAGAAGGCCUUCGGGUUGUAAAGUACUUUCAGCGGGGAGGAAGGGAGUAAAGUUAAUACCUUUGCUCAUUGACGUUACCCGCAGAAGAAGCACCGGCUAACUCCGUG